rnacentral:rRNA from 1 species
CCUUCGGGANCUCUGAGACAGGUGCUGCAUGNCUGUCGUCAGCUCGUGUUGUGAAAUGUUGGGUUAAGUCCCGCAACGAGCGCAACCCUUAUCCUUGUUUGCCAGCACGUAAUGGUGGGAACUCCAGGGAGACUGCCGGUGAUAAACCGGAGGAAGGUGGGGACGACGUCAAGUCAUCAUGGCCCUUACGAGUAGGGCUACACACGUGCUACAAUGGCGCAUACAGAGGGCGGCCAACCAGCGAUGGUGAGCGAAUCCCAAAAAGUGCGUCGUAGUCCGGAUUGGAGUCUGCAACUCGACUCCAUGAAGUCGGAAUCGCUAGUAAUCGUGAAUCAGAAUGUCACGGUGAAUACGUUCCCGGGCCUUGUACACACC